rnacentral:lncRNA from 1 species
AGCCGUGUCCCGGGAACUGCCGCCUGCGGAUGAAAUAGGACCCUUCCACUCACGCUCCGUUCAAGAGCAUAAAAAAUAAUUACCGUGCUCACGGUAAAUACGAUGCAUUUGUCUUGAACGGUGUAAGUGAAAAGCGGUUCAUGUAGCUAAAUGUUUCAGAUUUGGAACCAGCUUUGCUGUUAAAAACCUUUGUGUCCAUCAAGGAAACUAAUUCGGUGAGUCAGGGUUAAGUGCAGCGACGGCUGCUGGGAAAAGCUGGCGUGCAAAGCCUCCCAGACCGAGCGUGAGACCGGCUGCAGGGAGACAAUGACAGAACUGGGCAGGAGUGACAGUGCAUAAAACAAACUGGCAAAUAUUUUAAAAGCUGAAAUUGAAUUUUUUUUAAAGUAAAUACCCUGCGGUAUAAACUGAAAAAACAGGUUUACCUUCACCCCUGGUUUGUGCCUCCAGCUGCAGAUCUGCGAUCAGGAGUGUGCUGCUUCCAUUUCCUCUCUUAUCUCCAUUUUCCUCUCUCUGUUGCGUUUCUGCCACCUGGAAGUUAGAGCGCUGGAUGACGGGAACUAGAUCAGGAUUUCAAAGACAUUUGGAGUGUAAUUCCCAGUGAUUUCAGAGCAAGUAAGGCACCUUUGGGACUGCAUUGUACCUGCUACCGAGGCGCUCAGAGCAUCCUUGGGGUCUGGUGUCCGGUGUGUUUGGCCAGGAACCUGCUUGCAGUUGGGUCCCACCACCUCCUGCACUUGCAGAGGAUCCUCAGGCUCCUGCAAACAGGAUUCCAGCUAUCUCUUCUGUGCUAUGUCAUCUUUGCAAGGGAAAAUGAGACAGCUGCAGGCCAAGGAGUCAUGGACUGCAGGCUCUAGAAGGAAAAAGGCAGAGAAGUGUUGAACGCAGGAGGACAACAGCAAGGAGGAGGAGGUCCAGGUUCCUGCAUCCUUUCUGCCUGAAUGGCUCUGGGGUACCGUGGCGCGUGCAACAUCUAAUGCCUCAUCGCUCCUGCAGGACGGCGGUCGUUUCGGCUGCAUCGCGCAGGACGAGCGUCAGCACCCGGGAAGGGCUCCGGGCGCUGGCAGGAGCAGGAUUGCACCGCCUUUUCUGCACGCUCCCACACCGGGCACGGCAGUCUCGCAGCUCUGCCCCUGCUUGCGCUGGACGGGGCCAGCACCUCUCUGCUCGCCGCCUCUCGAACCCUGGGCUAGCGCCGGUCCGAUGGCUCGCGCCAACCUUCGCGUGCUGCCUGGAGAGACGCAGGGCUGGAGCAGAGCUGCUCGCAAGAAGUUCAGGCCUGUGGACCCUCGUAUUUGCUAAGGAUGCUGCUUUUUGGUUGAUUUCGUGCUGCACGCGUGGGAGCUGCAGGAGCCCUCUCCUCCGUGGGUGCUGUAGCAGUGAGCGACCGGACUCGGUUUCCCCUCGCUGUAGCCACGAGCAGCGCAUGCUUGCCAGCAUUUUCCACAUACACCAUAUUUUCAGCACAAAGCAGUGUUCUUAA